AUAAAAAUAGUAUAAUUAAGUAUCCCAAGUUUCCACCUUGGGGGUUCCUGUUUGGGUUUUUAUA
rnacentral:tRNA from 1 species